CCUGCUUCUCGCCUGAGGAACUGGCGUUCCUUCAGCCUUCCCUCGGGUCCUCUUAAACUUUCCUGUUUCAGGAGUGUGAAUGACACUCCCCCCCCCCCCCCCGGUUUUAAGUGGCGACGGCUCUGCCUCUGUUUUAUCGCCCCGGGUCCUGUCCGCGGUGAUUGGGGGAGGCGUGUCAGCUCGCCAUCUUGGAUCAGGGGCGACAGUACCGGUUUCGCGCGGACCUAAGGCGCGUCCCGAGGUGAUGACAGUGGGGGACGGAGUCGCACGUCCUUGGACAAGACUUUCCAACCGUCUCCUCCGCGCCCCCCUCCCCCGCGCGGCCCCAGCACCCGGUCCAAAAAUAGCUUCCGCCGACCCCCAGGCCAUCCUAAGCCAGAGUGCGUAGGAUGAGUGGCUCCCUCUGGGGCAUCCGGGGGUCCCCAGCUGUCCCCAUCCUGCCCUCCCGUGCUCCGGGCUGCGCGCGGCAGGAGCGGGCGCCGCAGGGCGCGGAGUGGGAGCGCGCGGCCGGGGCCGUGCCCGGGGCGGGCCGGGAGCAGGGUGGCCGCGGGGGUGAGGAGCCGCCCGGGCCCGGCCGGCCUGACACCACCUGGCGGAGUCUCGGGGAAGAGUCUUAAAGGCGCGCGCUCCUCCGCGCCCCUCGCACUCCAGCGGGAGCCGCCGAGAGCUCGCCUCCCUCUCCCGCCCGGCGCCUCGGGAGGAGAGGUGACUGCCGCUCCCGGAGGCGAAACGACUUGCCCACUGACUCAGUCAGCCCAGGCUGCUGUAACAGAACACCACCGGCCGGGAAGGCUUGAGCAAUAGACAUCUACUUCUCACAAGCUGGAGGCUGGGAAGCCCAAGACCAAGGUGCCGGCCAGUUUGGUUCCUGGUGAAGGCUCUCUUCCUGGUCUGUAGAUGACUGCCUUCGCGCUGCGUCCUCACACGGCCAGGAGAGAGAUCGUGUCUCUCAUAAGGACACCGCCUUCAUGACCUGAUUAUCCCCUAAAGGCUCUACCUCCAGAUACCAUCACACUGGGGAUUAGGGCUUCAACACAUGACUUCGGGAGGGACAUAAUUGCGUAGUCCAAGCACCUACUGUCACAGGGGUGUAGAGCUGAAGGUGUGACUGGAGCACGAUCCUAGUGACCUUCUCGGGCCUGCCCUGCCCUGCUGACCCCUCAAGGAGCUCCUCGCAAGCAGCAGCGGGAAGCUGGGUGCCCGCACAGACCCCACAAACCACACACGCAGCCAGAGGCUAGGAGGUCGCUCUGCAGGGUGGGUCGCGUCUAUGCAGCCCUGUGUCUACUUUCCGGCAUCAUUCGGGGGGCUAGCAUGCUGGCUCCUCCUGGCCUGAAGGGCAACAUCAGUGAGAGGGAGAGAGAGGUUCUCUUCCUCCCCCAGUCCUACGUUCCUUUAACACCUUGUUGGUGGUCGAAUAAUCCGUGCACUCACCCAAUCCGAAUCAAUGGUCCGCGUCUGUUUUCAUCCUGUACCACCUCUUAGAAUGAAGUCCCCUAAACUUUC